rnacentral:rRNA from 1 species
GUAGGUGGCAAGCGUUGUCCGGAAUUAUUGGGCGUAAAGCGCGCGCAGGCGGUUCUUUAAGUCUGAUGUGAAAGCCCACGGCUCAACCGUGGAGGGUCAUUGGAAACUGGAGAACUUGAGUACAGAAGAGGAAAGCGGAAUUCCACGUGUAGCGGUGAAAUGCGUAGAGAUGUGGAGGAACACCAGUGGCGAAGGCGGCUUUCUGGUCUGUAACUGACGCUGAGGCGCGAAAGCGUGGGGAGCAAACAGGAUUAGAUACCCUGGUAGUCCACGCCGUAAACGAUGAGUGCUAAGUGUUAGGGGGUUUCCGCCCCCUUAGUGCUGCAGCUAACGCAUUAAGCACUCCGCCCUGGGAUACGGCCGCAAGGCUG